CGAACGCUGGCGGCAGGCUUAACACAUGCAAGUCGAACGCCCUCUUCGGAGGGAGUGGCAGACGGGUGAGUAACACGUGGGAAUCUACCUAUCUCUACGGAACAACACAUAGAAAUGUGUGCUAAUACCGUAUACGCCCUUAGGGGGAAAGAUUUAUCGGAGAUAGAUGAGCCCGCGUUUGAUUAGCUAGUUGGUGAGGUAAUGGCUCACCAAGGCGACGAUCAAUAGCUGGUCUGAGAGGAUGAUCAGCCACACUGGGACUGAGACACGGCCCAGACUCCUACGGGAGGCAGCAGUGGGGAAUAUUGGACAAUGGGCGCAAGCCUGAUCCAGCCAUGCCGCGUGUGUGAUGAAGGCCCUAGGGUUGUAAAGCACUUUCAACGGUGAAGAUAAUGACGGUAACCGUAGAAGAAGCCCCGGCUAACUUC
rnacentral:rRNA from 1 species